rnacentral:rRNA from 1 species
GACGAACGCUGGCGGCGUGCCUAAUACAUGCAAGUCGAGCGGACGAAUCGAAAGCUUGCUUUUGAUUCGUUAGCGGCGGACGGGUGAGUAACACGUGGGCAACCUGCCCUGUAGACGGGGAUAACACCGAGAAAUCGGUGCUAAUACCGGAUAACACGAAAUGUCGCAUGACGUUUCGUUGAAAGACGGCGCAAGCUGUCGCUACAGGAUGGGCCCGCGGCGCAUUAGCUAGUUGGUGAGGUAACGGCUCACCAAGGCGACGAUGCGUAGCCGACCUGAGAGGGUGAUCGGCCACACUGGGACUGAGACACGGCCCAGACUCCUACGGGAGGUAGCAGUAGGGAAUCUUCCGCAAUGGACGAAAGUCUGACGGAGCAACGCCGCGUGAGCGAAGAAGGCCUUCGGGUCGUAAAGCUCUGUUGUUAGGGAAGAACAAGUAACGCAGUAACUGGCGUUACCGUGACGGUACCUAACGAGAAAGCCACGGCUAACUACGUG